AAUGCUAAAGAGUUUACCAAAAUCCCAUAAAAAUUAGUGCUAAUACUUUGGGAAAACAGUGAAUUUUCAGGAAACAAAUUCAGGGCAUUACUAUUGAGAGUAUCCACUGUGUGGAUACACAGGAACGAAGUUUCCAAGUUGUGCAUGACUGUGAUGGUGUUUUUGUCCUCAAAUGCAAAUGGAAUGGAGCACAAGGUUAAUGAGCUUCAGACCAAGCUGAAGCAAGAACACAAGGAGUCGGGACAAAGUGAAGUAGCUCCUGGGAAUGCUAUGCAGCAUUUUAUUACAUGUUAUAGCAAGAGGAGGGAAUCCAGACUGCUGUCAGAUAUUAAGUAGGAAUAUGGUUCUAACACUGGUACAGCCCUAUUGUUGCUGACCUGAGAGGUGACAUGCUGCAUUCUUAGUCUGUACCUGGGCUGUAUGGAUGCCUAAGAAUUCAGAGCAUCAAUGCUGCAAGGAAAAGCAAUGAUUAAGAAGGUCAAGCUGGGUAAGACCCCUGUGGAUACAUUUCCAGCAAGAACUACAAGAAUGUGAUCAGGCAUUUCAAGUUACUAAUGAGAAUGUGCUUGUGAUACCUUUAAACAGUGCUAAUUUUGAAUAUUUUUUUUUUUACUGAGGGUGAAAUGAUGUGAAGAAGAGUGGGGUCUGAGCACUUCAUUAAUGCCAUAAAAAAAAAAAAAAUGAGGGCAUUAAAAAUUAUAUUCCUGGUAAAAUGCAUCCUAGCUUCUAGGCAUGCAGUAAAGUAGACACGUCAGGCAACACAGAAUUUAACUACCCAUAGUGUGGGUUUCUUACUGUUUAUCUAGGGGCAUCAGACCAGUGAACCUACUAGAUCUUCUUUGUCCUGAAAGGAAAGAACAAGAAAACUGAUAAAAGUUAUGGAUUGGCUUUUGCACAGGGAGUGACUGACUCGGUAGGUUGACUGCUGGCUCAUGAUUAGCAGGAGAGGAGAACAUGGCCCAUCACAAAGUCUGUAAAAUCAACUGGACCCUGAUGCAUGUGGAACGAUUUUUACACAGUACAGCAAUUUCAGCUGGAACUGACCCUGUCCCCCUGGGAAAGGUGCUGACAGGUUUUUUGGGGGGAAAUGGCAGAGAUCAGCACAUCUGGAGCACAAAGGAUGGGCUUCACCCUAGAAAACCCACCUUCCAUGACUGUAACAUCUUCCCUACCAGGAAAAGAAAAAGCUCCUAGGCUGGAGAAGCCAUUGGACUCAUGGCUGUGUUGCAGCAGCAAUGUUCAUAUUUGCUUCUGAAAGUGGCUGCUGGCUGUACCUCCACCAGAAAUCUUGGAGGAUGUGGAAGAUGAAGGACAAUAUUGGAAUGUCUUGCUUGUGCUGCUGCUGUCCUUAGGUAAUCACCUGGAACUGAGCAUCAAAGGGACCCAUCUGUUCUGCCAUGCCCAGGGGGGAAUCAGGUACAGGUGGUUUAUCAGCUCCUCAGUGCAAGUGUUGCAGAGCUGUUUACAUAAAUCUUUUUAAAUCUGCACCGAGGUGUUUCAUGGCAUGGUACAGAACUUUGUAAAGAAACAGUGGAAUAAGCAUCUCAAAAAGAUGCAUAGUAUCAGACAUUACUUCCCCAUUAUCUCUUGAUAUGCUCUAACAGGGCAGUUGAUUGCUGAUGGAUGCAAGUGUUAUCCUGAUUUAAGUGAGACUCUGCAGCACUCAUGCUUCUCUGUCAAUUCUCUAUUUCUUCAUUGGUUCUGGAUUAAAUCUAAAAAACUGGCUUUGUUUAUGUCCCUCUAAAAACUGGCAGUAGAGUUAGUGGUAAAUAACUUACUUAGCUGUCUACUCUCACACUGUUUACUGUGGCUUCAUUUUACAUGAUUUGUUUUGUUGAAUUUUGCACACUCUCCUGCCCCCAAAAAAACUCUUCUGGAUGGUGAAUGA